CAGUAGUUAAUGAACGUCUGGAAGAGGCUGAGGAAAAAAAAAAAAAAAACAGUGGCAGUCUGGAAUUUUCCUGGAGCUCAUUGUGGGACAAAACCAAGCAGCAUGAAUAAAAUCUUCGUCAUUCACACACUUCUGUGAUUUUACAGCAUGGCAGGGACAGACACACAAGUGUGUGUGGCCUGAGUGCUUCUUGAACUCAAGGAUUCCUGUGCCAGGAUCCGUAGCUGAGCCCAACAUUUCGCUGUGACUUCAUGGCAGUCAAAGAGGGAUGAUGAUUUAUGUGUCUGUUGUUAUCUGACAUUUUAAGAAGUCAUCAAUUCUUUAGGAGAUGAAUUUGUUCUCCAGUAUAAAAGUGUAAGAGAAGCUGAUCCCGGGAUACUGAAAAGCUAAGGCAGGACUCAACAUUUUUCUCUUUUCAAACGUCAUUGCCAAGAAGCCCUCAAUUUCAAACGAGUCACUGACCCAGUAAAUUACCUAAUGCAUCUACAGCUCCACCCACCUUCGCAGUCUCAGAAUGCUCAAGUGGAAAACGUUGCUUGGGGCAGGUCUCGUUCUGUCACCCAGGCUGGAGUGCAGUGGCAUGAUCUCAGCUCACUGCAACCUCUGCCUCCCGGGCUCAAGCAAUCCUCCCACCUUAGCUUCCUGAGUAGCUGGGACCACAUGUGCACACCACCAUGCCCAGGACUUACAAAUUACAUAUCCACCAUGACCCACAUUUCUAAGCCUGUAUGAACAAGUUUCAUCAUUCAUGUGAGCAGAAGGCUUAGCUCACAUUGGGAGCGAAUGCUGACCAGAGUUCCCCACUCCACCGCACCCUCCGCAAGGCAGAACUGAACAUGUUUAACAUUUCAUGUGUGGCUCACAUAUUCCUGUUCGACAGCGUGGACUGGAAGCUGGCCUGGGGUCUUUUAGCACCAAUUCCUUGCCCAGAGCACACUCCAUCUACUUAUUAAAAAAAGUUAAGUAAAACUCAAGCACGUCCUUCAGGAGGUAUCCGGACGAAAGCAUUGUUAUCACAGGAGACGACAGCUCCAUGCCUGUUACUUCCCCUGAAGACCUUCCAGUGGCACAAGAUGUGAAGAUGGAAGACAGUGAUACUCAUGAUCCUACCCUG